rnacentral:lncRNA from 13 species
UAAUCAUGCAUUGUUGGAUUUCACUUUGUUUCCGUCUUUGUGUUGUUUCAAAGUGUGUGACGGCACACGUCUCUUCAAAGGCUGAACGAGCUUAGCAAGCCGUAAGGGACCAAUGGAGAGAGUCAGAAUCCUGUUAUGUAAAAAUGUGGGACAUCUCUGGGACAUUACAACAACGGCAAAAGUUCAGCUGACUACUACUUCUCUAUCUAUGCCUCCGUCGUCAACACUGGGCCAACGUUCAUUCUACAUUGUAAUAGAAACACUAGUUAGGAGGUCCCAGGCAGCAGACGGCCAGGGGGUGCCAGGCAGCAGACGGUUAAGAGGAGGCUACGAGGAGAGAUGUCGAAGACCCUCAAAACCAUUACAGAAUCGCCUGUGUCCCCCCUUCGGAUUUAUUUCUAAACCACAUGUAUUAGAAUUUUUCAUAACGUGCUACAGGAGAAUGAACACUCAACAUAGGAAAGUAGGCGGACUGACGUUUCAGUUCCAACAUAGUUGA